rnacentral:rRNA from 1 species
UAUGUGAUCGUCUCUCGCAUAUCAAUAAGCGGAGGAAAAGAAACUAACAAGGAUUCCCCUAGUAACGGCGAGUGAAGCGGGAAGAGCUCAAAUUUGAAAUCUUAAAGGGUUUCCCUUUACGAAUUGUAGUUUAAAGAAGUGUUUUCUGUUGAGGUUUUGGUAAAAGUUCUUUGGAAUAGGACAUCAUAGAGGGUGAGAAUCCCGUAUUUGACCUUUACUUUCAACUUUGUGAUACACUUUCAAAGAGUCGGAUUGUUUGGGAAUGCAGUCCAAAAUGGGUGGUAAAUUUCAUCUAAAGCUAAAUAUUGGCGAGAGACCGAUAGCGAACAAGUACCGUGAGGGAAAGAUGAAAAGAACUUUGAAAAGAGAGUUAAACAGUACGUGAAAUUGUCAAAAGGGAAGCGUUUGACACCAGUGUUGUUUUUCUGAAAAUCAAUUAAAGAACUGUUUAUGCUAAGUUGUUUAGACUUUAUCAGCUAACUGUUUAGUUUUGAGCUUUUCUUUAAUGCACUUUUCAGUUAACAAGUCAACAUCAAUUUCUUUUGCUGUAAAAAAGCUUGAGGAAGGUGGCUUGAGAUUCGUCUUAAAGUGUUUAUAGCCUCUUGCCUAUGCAGUCGGAGAGAUUGAGGUCUGCAGCGUAGAUCCUUCGGGGCUAAAUGCAUUUGUGCUAAGUUAUAGCAUUUUAUAGACAACUUGUUGACUAUGAUUUGUCUUGUAGCUUACUCGCUUAUGUUAUUUUACCUACGCUUAGGAUGUUGAGUAGCGACAUACGCAC